ACAGACUCUGCAAGUGUUACCAUUUUGAAGGAAAAUUGUGUUGAAUGAAACAUUUUAUAUUUGUGCAGGACUGGGUUUGAUAUAUUUGUGUUUUCUGUUUUCAAAAUUGGUCAAGACAAAAUCAAGCAGGUCUAGUUUUAGGAUUUUGCUACUAUUGGGUUGGGUUUCUUUGUACAUGAAUUGUAUUAAUUCACAAGAUUAGUUAAACUUGUUCCUGUUUGUACUAACUAUAACUGUUCCAGUUUUACCCAUACCUUGGUGCCGGCAACUGAUUUUACUCGUACCUUGGUGCCAGCACUUUUUACCCACACCUUAGUGCCGGUAAGCUUUACCCAUACCUUAGUGCCGGCAAGUUUUACUCAUACCUAGGUGCAGGCAAGUUUUACUCAUACCUAGGUGCCAGAAAGUUUUACCCAUACCUAGGUGCAGGCAAGUUUUACCCAUACCUAGGUGCCAGAAAGUUUUACCCAUACCUAGGUGCAGGCAAGUUUUACCCAUACCUUGGUGCCGGCAAGUUUUACUCAUACCAGGUGCAGGCAAGUUUUACCCAUACCUAGGUGCAGGCAAGUUUUACCCAUACCUUGGUGCUGGCAAGCUUUACCCAUACCUUGGUGCCAGAAGCAGAGUGAAAAAAAAACGACAAGUGUAUUUAACAUUAGAAUAUAAUAUUAGGGUUAAAUUUGUUUACAGUUAAACAUUGUAUCAAAGCCAUUCCCUAGAGAGCUGCAUAAAUAUAAGUCUUUGUUUAUAGGUUUCAAAGGGCUUUGCAAGUUGUUUUUUUAAUCAGAAAUAAGUAAUAAAUCUUCAUUGAUAGUACUUAUUGUUGUUAACUUUACUGUUGAGCCUGUAUAUACAUCUCCCUAUCAACGUGAUAGAGUCAUAGUGUAUAUACAGCUCCCUAUCAACGUGAUAGAGUCAUAGUGUAUAUACAGCUCCCUAUCAACGUGAUAGAGUCAUAGUGUAUAUACAGCUCCCUAUCAACCUGAUAGAGUCAUAGUGUAUAUACAGCUCCCUAUCAACGUGAUAGAGUCAUAGUGUAUAUACAGCUCCCUAUCAACGUGAUAGAGUCAUAGUGUAUAUACAGCUCCCUAUCAACGUGAUAGAGUCAUAGUGUAUAUACAGCUCCCUAUCAAUGUGAUAGAGUCAUAGUGUAUAUACAGCUCCCUAUCAACGUGAUAGAGUCAUAGUGUAUAUACAGCUCCCUAUCAACGUGAUAGAGUCAUAGUGUAUAUACAGCUCCCUAUCAACGUGAUAGAGUCAUAGUGUAUAUACAGCUCCCUAUCAACCUGAUAGAGUCAUAGUGCCAUUUUAACCCCAUGUAACAAUGGGUAUGUAUAUUAUGCUAUAUUUUCUAGUCAAGUUUUAUAUUUUACAAUUUAAGCUUACAGUUUAUCAUCCGGUAUUUGUGCUGCAUCACGACAAAACCAAAGUAAUGCGUUUGCGACCAGCAUGUAUCCAGACCACCUUGCUGUUCGCUUACAAACUCUAUUACAAGUGGAGCAACUGACAGCGAGCAGCAUGGAUCCUGAUCAGACUGCACAGAUGUGCAGGCUGGUCUAGAUCCAUGCUGGUCGCAAACGCACUAUGUUGGUUUUGUCGUGAUGCAGCUCAAGUGAUGUUUUAUUAUGAAGCUGGAAUCUCUUAUGUUUUUAUAUUUGAAUGCAAGUUUCAAAGUUCCUGGAAUGUUUAAAACAAACAACUUUCUAAUUGAAUAGACCAGAAACAAUCUUAUAAGUUCAUCUGGGUAAGAGCCAUAAAAAGAACUUGGCAAAAAUGUAAUUUUGUGCCACAUAUAGAAAAACUUUCCAAAGAAAUAUUUCAUGUAGAAAUAUAUGCCCACAGUAUUAGUCUAUGUAUUUUCUUGUUAGGCUUUUUUUAUCAGAACAAUGACAAAGGUCUGUUUGAGUAUUCAACAUAUUCUCGAACCAAAAGAAGUUUUAAUUAUAUAAUAGCUCCAAGAUACACUGUUAGCAAGUGGCUGAGCACUAAGAUGUAAAAUAUGCCAAUGGCUGAGCUCUAAGUUUUAAAGUUAAACAAAGUUCUAAGAUGUAUAGUUAAUGCUGGCAGAGCACUAAGAGUUAAAGUUAGCCAAUGGCUGAACUCUAAAAUGUACAGUUACCACUGGCUGAGCUCUAAGAUUUAAAGUUAGCCAAUGGCUGAGCUCUAUUGUUAUACUGAUGUUCAAUGCAUUUAACAUAAACUUUAACCAUAUCAGGAAUAUUGUCUAUCAAUUUCUUUGAAUUUUUCUGAUAUAAUAUAUAUUUGUGUCAUUUUUUAUUUAAUCAACAUCAGCUUUGUUAUUGCUUUUUUGUAUUUUAUUUUCUAUAUAGUAUUCAAUUUUAAAUUUGUAUGCCAUGUCUUAUUAUGUUAAUCAAAUAAACUGGCUUUUUUAUAUAAAAAUGUACUUGUAGUAUGUUAUGUUUAAGUGAAGCAUGAUUUUACCUUUUUUGUAACAUUCUUGCAAUAAACUAGCAGCGCAUACAUUCAUGACUUUUAUAGAGCUCUGUACUUUUAUGAUAUAAUUAUUAAUUUAGCUUACUGAUAUGUGAAUGUUAGGGGGUCCAUGGCCGAGCAGUUAAGGUUGAAGAUAUGUGAAUGUUAGGGGGUCCAUGGCCGAGCAGUUAAGGUUGUUGAUAUGUGAAUGUUAGGGGAUCAAUGGCUGAGCAGUUAAGGUUGAAGAUAUGUGAAUGUUAGGGGAUCCAUGGCUGAGCAGUUAAGGUUGUAGAUAUGUGAAUGUUAGGGGGUCCAUGGCCGAGCAGUUAAGGUUGUUGAUAUGUGAAUGUUAGGGGGUCCAUGGCUUGAGCAGUUAAGGUUGUAGAUAUGUGAAUGUUAGGGGGUCCAUGGCGAGCAGUUAAGGUUGUUGAUAUGUGAAUGUUAGGGGGUCCAUGCCGAGCAGUUAAGGUUGUAGAUAUGUGAAUGUUAGGGGGUCCAUGGCCGAGCAGUUAAGGUUGUAGAUAUGUGAAUGUUAGGGGGUCCAUGGCCGAGCAGUUAAGGUUGUUGAUAUGUGAAUGUUAGGGGUCCAUGGCCAAGCAGUUAAGGUUGUAGAUAUGUGAAUGUUAGGGGGUCCAUGGCCAAGCAGUUAAGGUUGUAGAUAUGUGAAUGUUAGGGGGUCCAUGGCCGAGCAGUUAAGGUUGUAGAUAUGUGAAUGUUAGGGGGUCCAUGGCUGAGCAGUUAAGGUUGUAGAUAUGUGAAUGUUAGGGGGUCCAUGGCCGAGCAGUUAAGGUUGUUGAUAUGUGAAUGUUAGGGGGUCCAUGGCCGAGCAGUUAAGGUUGUUGAUAUGUGAAUGUUAGGGGGUCCAUGGCAGAGCACUUAAAGUUGUUCAAACCACGUCCCCUUCACUGGUGUGGGUUCAAUUCCUGAGAGGGACGUUGGAUUCUUUCAUGUAUGGAAACUAUCCAGCUAGCUUGUGGAACAUUGAUGGUUCUACCCAGGUGCCCAUUCUUGCCUACGCUAAUAAAGCUGGAAAGUCACCAUAUGACCUUUACUGUAUUGGUGCAAUGUAAAAUCCAACAAACAAAUAAUGUAGAUGUGACUGGCUGUUUUGUGAUGGUAGAUGUCAUAUAUAUUUUAAUGUUCAGUUUAAAUACUUACAGUUAUAAUAAAUGGUGCUAUUUUGUAUGUUUUUAUAUUGUAAACAUGUAGGAUAUUUUCAUAAAUUUUCAUAAUUAUCAAUUUUGACAACACAACAUUAUUUUUGUGCCAAAUUAAAUGACAACCCAAAGUUUUUGUAGAUUAGAGGACAAUAAGAGUUGUUUGUGACAAAUAUUGGACUAUAUAUUGAAUUAGGGGGCCUAUUUUGCAAAUACAGACUAAAUGUUGAAUUUUUCUGCCUAUUUGGUAAAUAUAAGACUAUAUGUUGAAUAUUUGAGCCUACUUGGUAGAUAUAGACCAUUGUAUAUAGCGGACUAUAUGUUGAAUUUAAUUGGCUUUAGUGGCAAUUAUAGGGGGGGGGGGUCAUAAUAUGUUGUUUUUUGGGGAUCUCCAUGGCAGAUAUACAGGACCAUUUGGGAAAUCUUUCAUUGCUUAUUAGUUAAGCAUCUCAUUGAAUUGCCAAUAAAAAUCCAUGACUGACAACUUCAAAAGUAGGACAGACAUAGAUUUGUAAGGAAAACAUAAUAUGUAAGCCAUACAUGUUAAUAUUGGUUAGUUUUUGGAAUAGUAUUAUAGUGUUACACAUUAGUUACCUAUUACCCCAGUAUUGGUUCAAAUCCUGUCAGGGACUUUGGAUUAUUUUAUGUGAGGAAACUAUCCAGCUAGCUAACUGAAUGUUGAUGGUUCUACUUGUGCACUACUUUUCGAUGGGGAAAUGCACAGAGGCACAUGUACCGAUGCACUUCCUCUAACAGUAAAGAUAGAACUUUAUUUCAUGCUUUCCAGUGUUUUAUUGUAAUAUAUCAGAUGAUUAUAUUCUGAUAAACCACUAGUGAAAUUUAUAAAAUAAAAUUUUCACUGUAGCCGGACUAUAUCUUAAUGUGGAUGAAAAGAAAAUCAUAACUAAAUGGAAUAACAGGCAGAAAUAAAUGCCGUUAUACGUAAAUGUUGCUUCUUUAGGAAAAGAAAGUCGAUGUCACCAUAUAUCAUGUUAAAAAUGUAACAAAAUAACAGAAAUUUAACAGAACUAUAUUUCAAAAUUGAUGAUGUGACGUCAUGAUGUGAUGACGUCACAAAGGAGAAUGCGCGACGUUACGCGGCAAAAUCAGUAAAAAAAUACUUAAAAUCACUUAAAAAGCAUGAAAUAAAAAGAAAAUUAAUUUGUUUUACAUAUAAGAUUGAAAUAUAUUUCAUUCGUGAACACCAGCUAUUAUAUUUUCAUUCGUGGCUACGCCACUCGUGAAAAUAUUGCAUCUGGUGUUCACUCAGUGAAAUUAUAUUUCAAUCUUACAUGCAAAACAAACAAAUAUCCUCUAUGUCACAAUUAUUAUGUUUAUAAACUGCACCUACAUGUAGUUUAUCUCAAAGUAUAUACCGUUUUCAUUGAUGGAUGUAUAUCUGAUACUGAAUAAACUAAAGCAUGUUUUUUGUCAAGCAACUAUUGUAACAUAUAAGAAAAUAUGUCCGUCCAUUUUGUUGUUGUUGUAUUUAAUGUUUUGUUGAAUCUCUGUCCAUGUGUAGACAAUGUAUUUGGUUAUAUAAUGUAUAAAGUUUGCCAAACUGUGUAGAUCUAGGAGAUAUUAGACAUGUUAGUACAAUAUUUUAUUUCAUUUAUAGUUAUCAAAUUUCAUAAAAUAGUUUAAAAUAGAAACUAUACAAUCAUAUACAGUAUUUCUUCAGCAUAUCAGAUAGAAAGUGUGUAGAAAACAUACCGUCUGUUUGUUAUCUUGUCUACAGGUCACUGGCUUUGUCUCCUGGACUUCAUUUUAACAACCUUCAUCGAUACUGAAGCUUAAAUUACAAAAUUGUACUGUAGCUUAUUGAGCAUAUUAUUUGUGUUAUUCCAUCCAGACAUUAAGUUUUACACCUACAGCUUCUUUACUGUUUAGUUGAAGGUCUUUUUUUUUAAAGUGUAUGUAAUGUUUGAAACAUGUUAUGUUUUUAAGAUAACUGUGUAAUAUUUUUAAUAGUGUUUUGUUAGGUAUGCUGGUGUGAUGUUCUCUAUCAUUUUGUCAAAUGUUUAAGUUAUAUAACUUUCUGAGUUUAAAUAUUUGUACAUGCAAUAGUAAGACUACACCAACAUAAUAUGACUAACCUGUAACAGAGUGAUGGCCUAGUGGUUAAGGUGUUUGCCUCGGUGUUUGUCUCUCAACCAAUGGAUCAUGAGUGCGAACCUAAUUGGGUUACAACCAUGUUUCUUCAUAUGACACCAGUACUGCUUGGUUCAAGAAAGCAAACUCGAAAGUGAUUUAUAUAAGUUGCAAGAUUUUGUUUCUCAAUAGAGCUUAAAUAAAUAUGUUUCAACCUAAACUAACACUUACUAUGUUUAAACCAAAAAAUGCUCAGCCUUUACAGUAUAGAGCUAGCCUAGUCUUUAUUACGGAUAUAGAGCUAGCCUAGCCUUUACUACAAGUAUAGAGCUAGCCUAGCCUUUACUACCAGUAUAGAGCUAGUCUAGCCUUUAUUACCAGUAUAGAGCUAGCCUAGCCUUUACCACCAGUAUAGAGCUAGCCUAGCCUUUACUACCAGUAUAGAAGCUAGUCUAGCCUUUAUUACCAGUAUAGAGCUAAGCCUAGCCUUUACCAUCAGUAUAGAGCUAGCCUAGCCUUUACUACCAGUAUAGAGCUAGCCUAGCCUUUACUACCAGUAUAGAGCUAGCCUAGCCUUUACCAUCAGUAUAGAGCUAGCCUAGCCUUUAUUACCAGUAUAGAGCUAGCCAAGCCUUUACUACCUGUAUAGAGCUAGCUUAGCCUUUACUACCAGUAUAGAACUAGCCUAGCCUUUAUUACCAGUAUAGAACUAGCCUAGCCUUUAUUACCAGUAUAGAACUAGCCUAGCCUUUAUUACCAGUAUAGAACUAGCCUAGCCUUUAUUACCAGUAUAGAGCUAGCCUAGCCUUUACUACCAGUAUAGAGCUAGCCUAGCCUUUACUACCAGUAUAGAGCUAGCCUAGCCUUUUCUACCAGUAUAGAGCUAGCCUAGCCUUUACUACCAGUAUAGAGCUAGCCUAGCCUUUACUACCAGUAUAGAAUUAGCCUAGCCUUUACCACCAGUAUAGAAGCUAGCCUAGCCUCUACUACCAGUAUACAGCUAGCCUAGCCUUUAUUACCAGUAUACAGCUAGCCUAGCCUCUACUACCAGUAUACAGCUAGCCUAGCCUUUAUUACCAGUAUACAGCUAGCCUAGCCUCUUCUACCAGUAUACAGCUAGCCUAGCCUUUACUACCAGUAUACAGCUAGCCUAGCCUUUAUUACCAGUAUACAGCUAGCCUAGCCUUUAUUACCGGUAUAGAGCUAGCUUAGCCUUCAUAUCUAUGCAGUCUGCAGUUUGGUGAUGUUUGCUAUCCUUUAUAUACAGCUAUCAAUGAUAAAAAUCUAGCUUUAAAUAUAUAUUAUUUUAAAUUACACUAUUUCUAAGUGGGAAUUAAAUGUGAAAAAAAGUAAUAAAUAUAUACAUUUGUAUAUGUUAUGUAUUUGAUUUUAGAAAUAUUGCAAUCAUAUGAUUACAGAAUAUUUAGAAAUUAAGGUACAUGUACUUAAAAGUAUUAGAAAUCCAUUCAGCAAAGAAAUCCAUGUAUAGUUUUAUGUCAUUUACAACAAAGACAAUUAGAUUUGAGCCGUGUCACGACAAAACCAACAUAAUGCGCAGUCUGAUCAGGAUCCAUGCUGUUCACUUACCAACCCUAUUACAAGUAGAGAAACUGAUAGCAAACAGCAUGGCUCCUGAUCAGACUGCACGGAUGUGCAGACUGGUCUGGAUCCAUGCUGGUCGCAAAUGCACUAUGUUGGUUUUGUCAUGAUGCGGCUCAUUUGUCUUUUUAUUCAGUUUAUAUCAUUUUACAGCAGGUCAUAAUUAUCUGGUGAAUAUUGUAAAUAAUUACCUGUAGUAUAAUUCAGCAGUAUAUGUUUGUUAUGCAUGCUUGUGUUGCCAUCUUGGAAUGAUAUAAUUAGAAUAAAUAAAAUCAAUCA